rnacentral:sRNA from 1 species
GAAGUACGAGGAGAUGCGGGAGGAAGCUUCCAACAUCCUGCUGAACAAGAAGGAGCGGAGGCGCAACAGCAUCAAUCGGAACUUCGUCGGGGACUACCUGGGGCUGGAGGAGCGGCCCGAGCUGCGUCAGUUCCUGGGCAAGAGGGAGCGGGUGGACUUCGCCGAUUCGGUCACCAAGUACGACCGCCGCUUCAAGGUGAGGCACUAGUGGGUGGGCACAGCAAGACCCUGGCUACAGCCUGGCACCCUCACCUGGCACCUGCCCCAGAUAGCCAUCCUGCCCACAGGCCCCACGGAUAUCCCCCAC